AUUACUGCACGCAUUUAAAUAAUUGUGUAAAAAAGUGAAAAAAAUUCAAAUACUGAAAGAAAAUCAAGAGUGAGAAAGAGCGACAGACUUAGAGGGAGCCAGAGAGUCAGAGAGAGAGGGAGAGAGGGAGAGCGGUAGAGUGAGUGGGCAUAGGUAUUGCCCCUAUACACCCACACACGCAGCAGCCAGCGUAGCCACAUUUAAUAGGAUUACGCGCUGCCUGACAGUUUUGCCGGAUUAAUACAACUCAACUCAAAGAGGAAGCAUAGCCUUAGCCGCUUUUACCUGACGUCUUUUUUGGGAGUGUGCAUCAUGUGCUUAGCGUAGCAUAGCUGUGGAUGAGCCGCAAUGUGGACUUAUAUGAUGGCAGCCGCCCGCGGAGAUCGGGUCAACACAAUGAUGUCCACCAGACGCCGCCCCGAAACCGAAUCGCCCAAAUACGGCUACAACCUCUCCCGUCCCAUGUAUCGUACGACACGUUUUGUUAGCCCCGUUGCCUCGGCGCCCGCUCAGCUGCCCUCCAGCUGCAAUCCAUCGCAGGAGGAGCUGGAGAUAAGCGGAGGUCUUUACGCCCCAUUUCAGCCGACGCUGGCGGCUGUUGGAGCCGAGGGCGGAGUUUGUCUGCCGCGCAAGCAUUUGAUUGCCAACCAAACGGCAAUGCCGUUACCCAUGGGUCCAACCGACAGCGCUGAACCGGAGGAGCAGCAGCUACACUAUCCGCGCAGCAGCUGCAGCAGCAGCAGCUGGCAGCACAGGCAGCGCCUACAAAUAGACUAUGACGACGACGACGAAGACGAUGAUGAUGAUGACGAUGAUGAUGAUGGUGAGGAGGUGCAGAUGGGGCAGCAACAGCAACAUCAACAGCAGAAGGUGAGCAGGCAAAAGGAGCUUCCGUGCGAUGAGGUCGGCUUUGCCAAGGAUAACAGAGAAGAGGGGAUUGACCCGGCCGAGCAAAAGUCAACGCAGCCACGUGCCAGCGAUGCCAACUAUCUGGAGAAUGGCAGGAAACUGAUACAAGAGCCGAGCAAAGGGAGCAAACCGUCAGCUCUGCGACGCACGCUGCAGGCGCUGCGUCAACGUCUGACCAAACGGAAUCGCGCCAAGCCGCCCGACUGGUUCCUCGAGAAGUUUUCGAAUGCCACCAACACGGACAAAAUAGGCAAAACCGGAGCCAUGGACGAUGCGGCGCUGUCUAGCGAAAUUCGCGGCAGCAGCGCUCUAUGCAAUCGCCUCUCCGUGGAUCCCACACUGCAGUCCCAUUAUAGGUGGCUCGCUGUGGUGUCGCUGGCGGUGCUCUAUAACAUCAUCUUUGUGGUGGGUCGUUCCGUUUUCUGGGAGAUCAACAAGAGCGCGCCUGCCGUCUGGUACACGCUGGACUAUCUGUGCGAUUUCAUUUAUUUGCUGGAUACGCUGGUGCACAUGCAUGAAGGCUUUCUGGACCAGGGUCUGUUGGUGCGCGAUGCGUUCCGGCUGCGUCGUCAUUAUUUUCACACCAAAGGCUGGUAUCUGGACGUGCUGUCGAUGCUGCCCACGGAUCUGGCCUACAUCUGGUGGCCGCCCGAGACCUGCUCCAGCCUGUAUCUGCCCUGUCCGGUGAUUGUGCGACUGAAUCGCUUGCUACGUCUGCCCCGCCUCUGGGAGUGGUUCGAUCGCACGGAGACCGCAACGGGCUAUCCGAACGCCUUUCGCAUCUGCAAAGUGGUGCUGGCCAUAUUGGUGCUGAUCCAUUGGAAUGCCUGCAUGUACUUUGCCAUCAGCUACGAAAUUGGUUUCAGCUCCGAUUCGUGGGUCUACAACUUGAAUGGAACACGCAACAACACGCUGCAGCGUCAAUAUAUCUAUAGCUUCUAUUGGUCAACGCUGACGCUGACAACGAUUGGGGAGACGCCGACGCCAGAGAACGAUGUUGAAUAUUUAUUUGUGGUCGCCGACUUUCUCGCUGGUGUGCUCAUCUUUGCCACCAUUGUGGGUAACAUCGGCUCGAUGAUAUCCAACAUGAAUGUGGCGCGUGUGGAGUUCCAGAACCGCAUGGAUGGAGUCAAGCAGUACAUGGCCUUCCGACGUGUGGGACAUGAGCUGGAGGCGCGUGUGAUACGCUGGUUUGCGUACACCUGGUCGCAGAGCGGUGCCCUGGAUGAGGAGCGUGUGCUGGCGGCGCUGCCGGACAAACUGAAAGCUGAGAUUGCCAUACAGGUGCACAUGGAUACGCUGAAGCAGGUGCGCAUCUUCCAUGACACUGAGCCGGGUCUGCUGGAGGCGCUGGUGCUCAAGCUAAAGCUGCAGGUAUUCAGCCCCGGCGACUACAUCUGUCGCAAAGGCGACGUCGGCAAGGAGAUGUACAUUGUGAAGCGCGGGAAGCUGUCUGUCGUGGGCGACAACGGCGUCACCGUGCUGGCCACCUUGGGCGCUGGCUCCGUCUUUGGCGAGGUGUCGGUGCUGGAGAUAGCGGGCAACCGGACGGGCAAUCGACGCACAGCCAAUGUACGCUCGCUCGGCUACUCGGAUCUCUUCUGUCUGGCCAAGAGGGACCUGUGGGAAACGCUGGCCGAUUAUCCAGAGGCGCGCUCCACGCUCACACAGCGCGGCUGUCAGCUGCUGCGCAAGGACGGACUGCUCGACGAGCAGAUCUUUGCGGAUUCGCAGCGCGUGCACGACAGCAUCGAGGGCGGCAUCGAGAAACUGGAGCUGUCCGUGGAGAACUUGAACAUGCGACUGGCACGACUGCUAGCCGAGUAUACGGCCAGCCAGGCGAAAAUCAAGCAGCGUCUGGCCAAGCUGGAACUCAACGGCGGAUCUGGUGGACGGGCGGACGGUGCGGAGCCGCAGAUGCGAACACGCAGCGGUCGCCUCUAUUCCCUGCAGACCAAGCGGCGCCCACGUGCGCGCCUUGAAUCAGCUGCCAAAUGUGGCGAUGCGGCCAAACAGAACACGCUUUAAGUCCGGGCAGACUGGGCGCCCAAACAGGGACAUCCACAUGGCGACAUUCCAGUGAUAAAUGCAUAAAGCUUCGCCCAGAAGGCUAAGGGGUUACGAACAUGGACAAUGAAGCUGCAGAUUAAAAAGUUGCUAUCGAGUUGAAGUUGGGUCUGUGUUGGCUGUGCGCCAGCUCGAGCGCUUUCAAAUCAAUUUUUAAUUUUAACAAUUAGUUUUAGGGCAGCGCCAAGCAGGUGCCCCGGACACGGGCGGCGGGGGGAUUUUGUUUUUAUGUAGCGCAACUUUAUAAAUUUGUAAUAUGAUUCAAACUGAAUGUGCCUCAAAGUGUGUAAAAGUAGAUUAGUUAAGAGCCAGAACAAAAAUUAGAGCAAGCAGCGCAGCACAGAGAGAAAGCGAAAGGGGAAGGGGAAGAGAGUUCGUUGUACAUAUGCGAAAGCUGAAAUGGCAUUUUGAAUGCCAACUCGGCAAUAGUCCAAUUUUACAAGCUAGAUUUUAUUUUUCUAUACAACUGUAACCGUUUCAAAUACGCUUAGGUACAACAAUGCAUAUAAACAUAUAUAUAUAUAUAUACAUAUAUAAUUAUAUAUGCAACAACUACAACUACUACAACAACAACAACCACCAAGAGACAUUUGCUGAAGCAGAAAGAGCCAGAAAUUGAGAGACAACGGAAGUAAAGUAAAGACACAACUGGUUGCACCUGGGAGCUACCUAAAGUUAACUGUAAAAGUACUAUAUAUACUACAUACUAUAUAUAUAUAUAUGUAUACAAUUUAUGUAUGUCUGUGUGCGUGUCUAGCGUUGGGCAAAUAACGAGAAAUCAUGUUAACAUUUUUUGAUUCAGCGAAUUGUAAUUUGUAAUUUAAGUAAUUCAGUGUUAAGGGCAAACAAAAGAGAAAGAAGCAGC